UAAUGCCUAGGAAUCUGCCUGGUAGUGGGGGACGAACGUUUCGAAAGGAACGCUAAUACCGCAUACGUCCUACGGGAGAAAGCAGGGGACCUUCGGGCCUUGCGCUAUCAGAUGAGCCUAGGUCGGAUUAGCUAGUUGGUGAGGUAAUGGCUCACCAAGGCGACGAUCCGUAACUGGUCUGAGAGGAUGAUCAGUCACACUGGAACUGAGACACGGUCCAGACUCCUACGGGAGGCAGCAG
rnacentral:rRNA from 1 species